GCCGCUUGGCGUAAAGACGCAAGCGCGCUGUUGAUUGGAGCACCCCCAACGUCAAUCGGAGACAGCGGACUUUGGGGUCUUGUUUUGCUUUUGAAUCUCUAUGAUCGUUUCCGACCAUAGACUAUAGAGAUAGACCAACACACGGGGCCCAAUUAUUUCGGUCUCUCUCGCGCGAGCUCCUUCUUGAGGCAGAAAUGAAUCAUUCGGGAGAUCCUUUAGAAAUGCCUGGAGAUUUUAGUGCAGCUGAUCGAAUAAUCUACCUGGAAACAAAAGCUACGAGUAUUUCAGUCGAAAGGGAAAGGAAGAGCAAUGGAGAAGACUACAAUUCCCAUGGGCCAUUGCGCAAGGCGCAAGCAUGUUGACGGACGCACUUGCGUAACGCUGCCUCCCGUUCUCCCGUCCCGCCGGAAGACUGUUUGGGAGGUUCUUCCAUCAGUAUGUAUAGGGAAGGACGGCUCAGGUCCCAACCUUACUGAAGUGCACUUUGGACGGGCUUUGCGAGCUUCCUCGCCUCGCAUAUUUUACAGGCGUGAUAAUAAAGUUUGCAUAAAGUCGUGCUCUGAAA